rnacentral:rRNA from 1 species
GUUUACGUUAUGCUCGUAGGCGUCGCCCAAGGAUGAGGCCGCGACCGAUCAGGUUGUUGGUGAGGUAAUGGCUCACCAAGCCUUUUACCGGUGCGGGCCGUGAGAGCGGGAGCCCGGAGAUGGGCACUGAGACAAGGGCCCAGGCCCUACGGGGCGCAGCAGUCGCGAAAACUUUGCAAUACACGAAAGUGUGACAGGGCUAUCCCGAGUGCCAUCCGCUGAGGAAGGCUUUUACCCAGUCUAGAACGCUGGGGGAAUAAGGAGAGGGCAAGUCUGGUGUCAGCCGCCGCGGUAAUACCAGCUCUCCGAGUGGUGUGGAUGUUUAUUGGGCCUAAAGCAUCCGUAGCUGGCUGAGUUAGUCCCUUGUUAAAUCCACCGAAUUAAUCGUUGGAUUGCGGGGGAUACUGCUCGGCUAGGGGACGAGAGAGGCAGACGGUAUUUCUGGGGUAGGGGUGAAAUCCUAUAAUCCCAGGAGGACCACCAGUGGCGAAGGCUGUCUGCUAGAACGCGCCCGACGGUGAGGGAUGAAAGCUGGGGGAGCGAACCGGAUUAGAUACCCGGGUAGUCCCAGCUGUAAACGAUGCAGACUAGGUGUUUGGACGGCCACGUGCCGUUCUAGUGCCGCAGGGAAGCUGUUAAGUCUGCCGCCUGGGGAGUACGAUCGCAAGAUUGAAACUUAAAGGAAUUGG